UACAGAGGUCCCAAGCGUUGUUCGGAUUCACUGGGCGUAAAGGGUGCGUAGGCGGUCGGGUAAGUCUGAUGUGAAAUCUCACAGCUUAACUGUGAAACUGCAUUGGAUACUAUUCGGCUUGAGAGUUGGAGGAGGGACUGGAAUUCUUGGUGUAGCAGUGAAAUGCGUAGAUAUCAAGAGGAACACCAGUGGCGAAGGCGAGUCCCUGGACAACUUCUGACGCUGAGGCACGAAAGCUAGGGGAGCAAACAGG
rnacentral:rRNA from 1 species